rnacentral:lncRNA from 1 species
UGUUUAUUUGAAUGAAUCUAACCUUGAGAAUGCAGCAAAGUGUGGAUUGAGUCGACCCAAAGAUUGUUUGAGUCGACCCCGGCACAUCAAGAAAUCAUUUGGCACACUCCUGCAAAAAUGGCACAGAUGAACAGUUGGUUGGGUCGACCCAAGGUAAGCAUGAGUCGACCCAAACUUCAAGAACCUCAAACCAUGAAGGAAAUAUGUUCUCUGGAUUUACUGAGAGGGUCGACCCAAACAGUGGUUGAGUCGACCCAAGCUUGAGUCGACUCAAACUCUGAGAGGGUCGACCCAAAGGCAAGACAGAAAGACAGACAGAAAAUGGUUCUCUGAAAUUACUGAGAGGGUCGACCCAAGAAGAAGUUGAGUCGACCCAAGUGAACUUUGAGUCGACCCAAAGAAAGGAUGGGUCGACCCAAGUGAAGGAAGGCUGAAAUCAAAGUUUCUGUGUUCUCUGAGAGGGUUGACCCAAGGAAUGUUUGAGUCGACCCAAGGCAAAGUUGGGUCGACCCAAGGACAGGUUGAGCCGACCCAAACACGGGCUGAACAGUAACGGCUAGUUCUGCAGAUGUACUUUUUGUCCUUCCCAAGGUCAGUAACGGCUAGUUUUUGAAUUCUAACCAUUGGGGCUUGACCAAAGAAGGUGGGAAGCUAUUUAAAGGGGCACUAUUCAUCAGAGAGAAUAACUUUUGAGUGGAAUAUCAAAGA